GGGACUGCCGGUGACAAACCGGAGGAAGUGGGGAUGACGUCAAGUCCUCAUGGCCCUUAUAGUGGGGCUACACACGUCAUACAAUGGCCGGUACAGAGGGUAGCCAACCGCAGGGGGAGCCAAUCCCACAAAGCCGGUACGUAGUCCGGAUCGCAGUCUGCAACUCGACUGCGUGAAGUCGGAAUCGCUAGUAAUCGCGGAUCAGCAUGUCGCGGUGAAUACGUUCCCGGGUCUU
rnacentral:rRNA from 1 species